GGCGGCAUAGCCAAGUGGUAAGGCAGAGGUCUGCACACCCUUUAUCACCGGUUCAAAUCCGGUUGCCGCCUUCA
rnacentral:tRNA from 1 species